AAAAAAAAGUACGUUGAUAACUGCUCGUAUAGGAUGAAGUGUAGGGUUAAACACACAAAGAUCAAGCGAUUAUCAAGACUAAUUUAUUCAUUCAUUUCACAAGAACAAAAGGGUUCUCAUCUAUAAGUGAGACCCGUUCAUCAUAUCACUAGCAUUCAUCCCAACAUCUUAUAAAAGUCAAGUUCUUCAUAUGAACUAAUAUGCUACACUAUUUCAUAUGCCUAUUUAUAUGAACGAAAUUACCAAUUUCAUCAUAACAUACAAAACCCAUUUCAAGUCAUGCAUGAGCUUUCACUCAAACUUAUAAUUUGUUCAAGUAUCUAACUUCAACUAUCAAUUAUGACGAUUUUUAGAACAAAUACCUCGUCAUCUUUACUACAUAAUCAAAAACCCACUUGUCUAAAAGUGGUAAUUCAUCAAAUUACUCGAAUCAUAGCAUGUUAUGUAUGAUUUUCACUUAGGGUUUCGUUCCUAAGCAAGUAUACAUCACUAGUCUAGCCAUAGCUUCUUUUUACCAAUCACUAC
rnacentral:lncRNA from 1 species